rnacentral:tRNA from 1 species
AAAACUUUAUUUUAAUUUAAAUUUCAUUUUUGCUGAAUGACGAUAACUUUUUGGUUAAGUUUUA